AUCUUGCUAAUAGCGAGUCUAUGGGGGGAAUUCCUAUUUGCCGCACAUUGCGCUAAAUUGUCGGGGCGCCGCACACCCUUCGCUCGUAUUUGAGCCAGCCCUUAUAAGGUGUUCUAUUUCUACGACUCCGCGGGAUCCCCUCGACCACCGCUCCUCUUUCCUUCCUUCCUCGUGUGACUAGCUGCUUCUUCUUCUAGAUUGGACUACUUGUUCCUCUCGAUUCACCGUCAAUCCUUGCUCCUUUGUGGCUCUCGGGGCGGUAGGUGCUCUCACUCUUCUUCUUCUCCUCAUCCCUUCGUCAUCUCUCUCGGGUAGUAGCUAGGGUCUGCUGAUCUUUUUUUGUUGGCAGAUGGUGAUUCCUGUCUAAUUUGUGAAGCAAUAGCACUUCAAUUUGGCGGUUCUUGCUCCAGGCUUAGGUUAGAUCUUGCAGUUUGUGGUUGUUCGUAAUCUACACAGAGUGAAGAUGGGAGGCUGCGGCAACCGUUCACCUCUAUGCAAUUCGACCACGAAGAAGAAUACAACCAAGUUAGUCAGUUACAAUGUUGUUUCAUUGUCCAGCCAACAAUUCUUUAUUUCAUUCGAAUGGAGAGAAAAUGUAUGUGAGCCGAAACUGAGAGCUAUCGUCUGUAUGCCCGAUGUAUUGUUAUGUAUGUACAAACUCAAAACUUGUAAUUCGUUCUGUAAGGCAAGAAUGUCAUUUGUAAUAGAGGAAGUUGCACAUUAUUUAUUUAGCAUGUUUGGAAAGUUGGAAAAUGCAGAAAUGUCUACAUACUGUGCCCGGGAAGGGAUUGUUGGUUUGUUAGUUUCUUCUUCCUCUUUCUAGUUCUACUAGUUCUAUGCAUCAUGUCUU